CUCGGUGGAGUCGUUGGUAUGACGUUGGACUCACAAUCUAAAGAUCGUCAGUUCGAAUCCGGCCGUGGAUG
rnacentral:tRNA from 1 species